GCAAAGCAUCCGAGUAUUCGAGUUGUUGAGAGCACCCCGGUGCUACCACGACUCCAUCCUCGGAAAACUUCAUCCACCCACCGUCGGGCUAUUCGCCGCCUGACGUUUGCCGUCCGCACUUGUGUUCACUCUGCACGCAAAUGGGAUAUCUUCAUCGGUGAUGGUGACAUCGAGCCCAUAGCCUAUGAAAGAAGGUGACUUGGGGCCUGACCCUUCUGCAUAGGGAGG
rnacentral:lncRNA from 1 species